CAAGUCGAGCGAACAGACGAGGAGCUUGCUCCUCUGACGUUAGCGGCGGACGGGUGAGUAACACGUGGAUAACCUACCUAUAAGACUGGGAUAACUUCGGGAAACCGGAGCUAAUACCGGAUAAUAUAUUGAACCGCAUGGUUCAUAGUGAAAGACGGUU
rnacentral:rRNA from 1 species